AGAUGUUCCCAGGACGCCAGCUAAGUCUGCCCGGCCGGCGCGCGCCGCUUCCGCUCUGGUGGGAAGGACCUCCCUUCCCCCUCUGUAGAAACACUUUCUCCAGGCCCGGCCGGGCUUGGUAAACCUCAGCCGUGCCUGGGUAGAGGACGCCGGGCUGGGCCGAGCGGGGGUGGAAUGAGGGCGUCUAGAACAGAGAAAACUAAGAUAGGGUCGUCCCCCCAGUAAUCUGGAAAACAGUGAUAGGAACAGGCUCCGCUCAUCGACAAGCAGUGCUGGCCGUUUCCUCACUGGUUUGGGAGGGAAGGCUGAGCAGAAAAAGGAUACAACCUUGUUCUCAACCACUUGCUAUCUCGUGAUUCAGGGAUUGGAUGAGUCUCUAUGGUUUGUUUUGCCCUGAAGAACAGAAGGCUUCUGUCCCAACUGGUGUUGCCAAAGCAACAUAUUAAUUCCAUGCCAUGAUCCUGGGUCAAGAUCUGCACAAUCUGAUUGGUCAUAUCACCUCGGAUGGCAAGGGAGUGGAAGUGGUCAAAAUCAUGGAGUCCCAGCUUUCGGAGACGCCUUGCAGCUGCCCGGUGAAGAAAAUGCACAAUGGAAGCCACCCAGAUGUCCAAUGAUAGUGGCAUAGUCAAAUCAAUGUGGUAUAAUCAUGA